rnacentral:lncRNA from 12 species
AUGAGCAGAUGGCCUGUCAGUAAUGACCUGAAGCUGGACUCAUGAUACAGUCCUUCCAGAGAACUGACUUCACAGCUGUGCUUUACAUGCUGAGAGCUAAUGGAUCCAUGGCAAGAUCCCGCUGGGAGACCUGAGGAUCCUGUGUUUCAGGGAUGGGAUGAUCCUGUCUUCUCAGAACAGGAAUAUCUGGAUUUAUACACAGCGCUUUCUGAAUCCGCAGCCGAUCAGAGGAAGCAGGAGCAGGUGAAGAAUGAGGAAACAGCUGGAACACCUGCAGGACCAGAGCUGAAACCACCUGUCACACACAACAACGGCGUGAAGGACGCUUGGAGCAUCACUUUAAUAGAUUCUGCACAAGGCAGUAACGGCAGAACUGCAUCGCUCUGCGAGUCAACAUCACAACUGCUAUCAGAAUACGCUCUCAAUCAUGACAAGUUCAGCUCGAGCGUGGUGUGGGCCCGUGUGGCCCCUGUGCACGAGUCUCUCCUGGAGUCCGCUGAGCUUCUCUUCCAUGUGUCCGUGCCCUGGCUGCCCGUGGAACUGCCGUACAGAAGCAGAUUAAACAGCACAGCCCAGGAGCUGAUGGAGGCGGUUCUGGUGACUCUAGAUCAUUCUUCCUCUGUCAGUGGACAAUACCUGAUGAAACUCUGCGACUCAGAGGAGUAUCUCAGAAGCGAUGAAAUCUUGGGAUUGUAUGAACGCAUCCAGGUGUAUCAGAAGUUUGCUCUGGAUGUUCCAGUGAGGAUGGUGCUCAAGGACUCCGCUGACAAAACACUGACGCGAGAUGAGGAAGACGACCGGCAGAUGUUUCAUUUUAAUCAAGUCCUCGCUUCUGCUUGUGCACUCAGCACUAUGAGGACGUCUCUGCAGGAGAAGCUGAGCAGCUACAGCCAGGCAGUAAACAAGCUCUUGAGAAGCUGGGUUUGUGUUUCACUGAAAUGA